GCAGAAGGCAGAGUACACGUGCACGACAAAUGUAAACAACAGAAUAUAUCACGUAAUAUUGAAUAUUACGUGAUAUCGUUGCCGCUAACAAUUUCGCCAAGAAUCGAUUGUACAAUUAAUAAUUACUAUAAGACUGCUGAAGCAUACUUUACUUUACUUUAAUACUUUAUUGUACAUCACACCACAAAGAGAAAGAUACAAAACAUGUAUAUUGCCUAAAUAAAUGUACAAUUAUGGCGACCUUAUCGCUACACAGCGAUCUCUUCCAGGUAACCGAGUGUUUGAAUGGCGGAGGGACGAGCGGAGGGAGGAACGGGGAAAUGAGAGAAUGUCUCGAGAUGUGUCGCGACCGCCGAUCAAUUUGGUCGGUUAACGGCUUUUAACGACAUCACAGGGGCAUCUGGGAAAACAUCCACAUCUACACAUGUGUAUACGGAACAACUCACGUAGUAUCCCACUACUGGACCAAGGCUGUUUAAGGUUUAUUCCACCACGCUGUUCUAUCGUGUUGCUGGUGGAAUAGUAUAGAUACAAAUAACUUAAAAUGCAGAUAUUUGCUAUUUUCUGUUAGGAUCCAUUUACCUUUAACAUAACAUUGCAGCUGUAAUUCAU